CUGAAGAGGACCUACCUGGCACUGGAGCGAGGUGUAACUGACAAUGCCAGGAGCUUGGCCCACGCCAGGAGAGCAGAGCACCAUCCACUCCAAACGGAGUGGCUGGGACAGCUGGGUGACUACAUGCUGGGCCAUCCCAUAGGCUGAGAGAGAGGAGAUCAAAAAGUCUGAAGCAGGCAGCUGUUAGUAUUUGUCCAGCAGCUCAUGAGGUCCAGAGCUAGUAUGGCUGUGAUUCUCUUGGCCUCUCCUUCAUGGCUGCAAGAUGGCAGCUCCUAUUCCAGGCAUCAUGCCCAGUCAGGGCAGGAAGAAAGGGGAAGGCCAGAGCCAGCUGCAGCUGUCCCUUCAUAGAAGAAAAGCAAAAGCUUUCCCCAAAACCCUCCACCCCCAGCUGAAUUCUACCCAGAUCUUAUUGGCCAGAUUGGAUCACAUGGUCACCCCUACUUGCAAGGGAGGUUGGGAAAGUGAUCCAUUAGUUUUGCUGGUCUCUAUAGCCCAGGCAGGUGAGGGAGCGUGAGUUGGGAGUGAAUAUAGGGCUGCUAUUUCUGGGAGAGUGGUCUUGAGUCCUGAAUUAACUCCCUAUUCUGCCUUUAUUUUUUAUUUUCAUGUAUCUAACACUCCUUGGUUUUGAAGCUGGGUGGGACAGUUAAAAAGAACUACGAGCUGGAAAUGAGUAAAGCUUUUUUUGCAAGACUGCCCUAAGGAAAUAAGUGUCAGCUGUUUUAACAUCCAUGCCCUGAUGGCUCAGCUUGGCUCUGCUCAGUUAUCAGAUGCCAACUCCAGAUGAGGCCUGCGCUGCCAAGUGUCUUGUCUCCUCCUGUCUGGAAGGGAACAGAUCAGUCUCACCUUCAUCAAGACCGAUACCUCAUUUGAGCUGUGUGAUUCCAUAUGAGGUCAGAAUACCUUGUGGCCACAGCUUCACCAGAG
rnacentral:lncRNA from 1 species